rnacentral:rRNA from 1 species
CCAAUAGCGUAUAUUAAAGUUGUUGCAGUUAAAAAGCUCGUAGUUGAAUUUCGGGGUUAGUAGGUUGGUCAUGCCUCUGGUAUGUACUGGUCUCACUGAUUCCUCCUUCCUGAUGAACCGUAAUGCCAUUAAUUUGGUGUUGCGGGGAAUUUGGACUGUUACUUUGAAAAAAUUAGAGUGUUUAAAGCAAGCUAACGCUUGAAUACAUUAGCAUGGAAUAAUGAAAUAGGACGUUCGAUCCUAUUUUGUUGGUUUCUAGGAUUGACGUAAUGAUUAAUAGGGAUAGUUGGGGGCAUUAGUAUUCAAUUGUCAGAGGUGAAAUUCUUGAUUUAUUGAAGACUAACUACUGCGAAAGCAUUUGCCAAGGAUGUUUUCAUUAAUCAAGAACGAAAGUUAGGGGAUCGAAGACGAUCAGAUACCGUCGUGGUCUUAACCAUAAACUAUGCCGACUAGGGAUCGGAUGAUGUUAAUUUUUUAAUGACUCAUUCGGCGCCUUACG